GUUAGUAGUUAAUACCUGCUAGCUGUGACGUUACUGACAGAAGAAGCACCGGCUAACUCCGUGCCAGCAGCCGCGGUAAUACGGAGGGUGCGAGCGUUAAUCGGAAUUACUGGGCGUAAAGCGUACGCAGGCGGUUUGUUAAGCGAGAUGUGAAAGCCCCGGGCUCAACCUGGGAACUGCAUUUCGAACUGGCAAACUAGAGUGUGAUAGAGGGUGGUAGAAUUUCAGGUGUAGCGGUGAAAUGCGUAGAGAUCUGAAGGAAUACCGAUGGCGAAGGCAGCCACCUGGGUCAACACUGACGCUCAUGUACGAAAGCGUGGGGAGCAAACGGGAUUAGAUACCCCGGUAGUCCACGCCGUAAACGAUGUCUACUAGAAGCUCGGAGCCUCGGUUCUGUUUUUCAAAGCUAACGCAUUAAGUAGACCGCCUGGGGAGUACGGCCGCAAGGUUAAAACUCAAAUGAAUUGACGGGGGCCC
rnacentral:rRNA from 1 species